CCUACGGGUGGCAGCAGUGGGGAAUAUUGCACAAUGGGGGAAACCCUGAUGCAGCGACGCCGCGUGAGUGAAGAAGUAUUUCGGUUUGUAAAGCUCUAUCAGCAGGGAAGAAAAUGACGGUAACUGAUUAAGAAGCACUGGAUAACUACGUGCCAGCAGCCGCGGUAAUACGUAGGGGGCAAGCGUUCGCCGGAUUUACUGGGUGUAAAGGGAGCGUAGACGGCGGCGCAAGUCUGAAGUGAAAUGGGUGGGCUUAACCCCGGAAGUGCUUUGGAUACUGUGCAGCUAGAGUGCAGGAGAGGUGAGUGGAAUUCCAAGUGUAGCGGUGAAAUGCGUAGAUAUUAGGAGGAACACCAGUGGCGAAGGCGGCUUCCUGGACUGUAACUGACGUUGAGGCUCGAAAGCGUGGGGAGCAAACAGGAUUAGAUACCCGAGUAGUC
rnacentral:rRNA from 1 species